CAGGAGCGGUGACUGCCUCGUAGCUCCCGAGUGUUGAGCUGUUGCUGGAUCGCUUGCUGACCCUUCCCUUCACAUGAUUUCUUCUGGGAUCAAAUAGAGUGCUGCCGCACCGAGCGUUUUCCAGAGAGCCGAGGCCCAAACUGGAGACAGACUUAUCUUAGAUUGACGACUAGAUUGAUGACUCCUUCCUAACUGAUCCAGGCUGAUCACUCUGCAAAGAUGCAAAAUUGCUGCUUCAUGAAGGCAACUUCAGCAAUGUUAGCGGGAAAAAAUGGCUGCAUGGAAGAAGCCCAUGAUCUCUCUUCAGAAUACAAAUUGUAUUUACUGCCUUGCAUGUGAUAGGGUCCAAGUCCUGUAUUUUUAGAGUAACUGAUUUACAGGCAAUUCUGUUUUCUGACUGUCAUCCAUUCUAUUGUGUCUUAGUUCAAACAAACAGACAAACAAAAAAAACCUGAGUGUAAUAGCUGGGCUAUAUGGGUGCUGUCAGGCUUUAUGUGCAGGAAGGUAGAGAAAAAAAUAAGAGGAAAUGUAGUUCAUGUCUCUAGGAUGUAUAUUUGUAGUUCCAAAAAGACUGUGGUAUAAAAAUUUCUGGGAUAUUGUAGAGGGCUUUUUGUUCCCAAAAUUAAACUUGAGUAUUUAUAAUUCAUGUUAGUAGGUUUUCCAUAUUGAAUUUUUAAUGUGUAUGUUCUUAAAGGGGGAAAAAAAACCCAUAAGGAUAUAGCAUUAGAAUUGUACAAAUAAGACUCAAUCCUAUGCUUUUCUAUAUUUAAGAAAAUAUGUGAAAAUUUAUUGUAGACUGUGCUGCCAGAGCAUUCGAGAAAGAGAAGAAAAAUUGUGCUUUACUCUUCCU